GAAAAGAAAAAAACGGUAUCAAAUGAAGUACUCGAUUGGUAUUGGUAUCACUUUAAGGGUACUGGUAUUGUCCGUUUUUAAAAGAUA